UACAGAGGUCUCAACCGUUGUUCGGAUUCAUUGGGCGUAAAGGGUGCGUAGGCGGUCGUGCAAGUCGGAUGUGAAAUCUCAGGGCUCAACCCUGAAACUGCAUUCGAUACUGCGCGGCUAGAGUGCUGGAGGGGAGACUGGAAUUUACGGUGUAGCAGUGAAAUGCGUAGAUAUCGUAAGGAAGACCAGUGGCGAAGGCGAGUCUCUGGACAGCAACUGACGCUGAGGAGCGAAAGCGUGGGGAGCGAACAGG
rnacentral:rRNA from 1 species